UUCUUGUUCCUGGCUCCUCUUCUCUGGCUUUGCUUCCUGGCUGCCAUGACAUGAACAGCUUUACUCCACCAGGCCCUUCCACCAUGCAGGCUUGGAGCUGGCUGUCUGUGGACCGAACCUACUGAAACUGAGGUGAUGGUUUUGCUCCUCCUUGAAGUAUCAGCAGGAGCUCAUGAGGAAGAGAUGGCCAAGGAAGGGCAUUCAGGCAGAGAGAGGCACAUGGUCAAGAUCCUGGUGGAAAAGAAGUGGUGCCUACAAUCCAGAUAAUUUAAGUGUGCUUGAAAAUGAUGAUUCUGCUGGGAAGAGGAACACUCAAGAAUAAAUACUCCUUGUCUCAAUUCACUGGAGUUAGGCAGAGCGGCAAAGGAGAGACCAACGCGAUGACGGGAUUCUGGGGCUUCUGGGCUCAGAGCUCAGGAUCCCAAACAACCUGCAGAUCUCUGGAGAAAGCAACCGCAUGGGAGAGGUGGAGGCUCACAGACCAGAUGGAAGAGGACAAACCUGGCCAGAGGAGAGCCCUUGCUAUCUCCCUUCAUGGUUCUGGUUAAGGACUGCAUCUCUUUAGAGGGACGGGCCACCAGCUCAGAGCACCAUGUGC
rnacentral:lncRNA from 1 species